UACGAAGGGGGCUAGCGUUACUCGGAAUCACUGGGCGUAAAGCGCACGUAGGCGGAUCUUUAAGUCAGGGGUGAAAUCCCAAGGCUCAACCUUGGAACUGCCUUUGAUACUGGGGAUCUCGAGUCCGGAAGAGGUGAGUGGAACUGCGAGUGUAGAGGUGAAAUUCGUAGAUAUUCGCAAGAACACCAGUGGCGAAGGCGGCUCACUGGCCCGUAACUGACGCUGAGGUGCGAAAGCGUGGGGAGCAACAG
rnacentral:rRNA from 1 species